rnacentral:rRNA from 1 species
AUUGAACGCUGGCGGCAUGCUUUACACAUGCAAGUCGAACGGCAGCGCGGGCUUCUUCCUGGCGUCUAGUUGCGUACCCGUCAGUAAUACAUCGGCUCCUGCCCUUUUUUUGCGGAUAGCUCUGCGUCAGCCGCAUUAAUACCGCAUACGACCUCAGGUUGUAAGCCGGGGAUCUUCGGUUCUCUCGCUAUUUCCUCUGCCGUUGGCAGAUUACCUAGUUGGUGGGGUAAAGUCCUACCAAGGCGACCAUCUGUAGCUGAUGUGAGAGGAUGACACGCCACAGUGGGAAUGAGGCACGGCCCAGACUGCGACGGGAGGCAGCAGAGGGGAAUUUUGGACAAUGGGCGAAAGCCUGAGACAGCAAUGCAGCGUGUGAGAUGAAGGCAUAAGGGUUGGAAAGCAAUUAGGGCGGGAACGAAAAGGAAUGUGCCAAUACCACGGUUCGAUGACGGUACCCGCAGAAAAAGCACCGGCUAACUACGUG